AGGCAACGCGAAAGAACCGUUACGCUACUCGUGACAUCCCAGAGAACUUUCCAGAGAUGGAUUGGUGCCUUCGGGAACUCUGAGACAGGUGCUGCAUGGCUGUCGUCAGCUCGUGUUGUGAAAUGUUGGGUUAAGUCCCGCAACGAGCGCAACCCUUAUCCUUUGUUGCCAGCGGUCCGGCCGGGAACUCAAAGGAGACUGCCAGUGAUAAACUGGAGGAAGGUGGGGAUGACGUCAAGUCAUCAUGGCCCUUACGAGUAGGGCUACACACGUGCUACAAUGGCGCAUACAAAGAGAAGCGACCUCGCGAGAGCAAGCGGACCUCAUAAAGUGCGUCGUAGUCCGGAUUGGAGUCUGCAACUCGACUCCAUGAAGUCGGAAUCGCUAGUAAUCGUGGAUCAGAACGCCACGGUGAAUACGUUCCCGGGCCUUGUACACACCGCCCGUCACACCAUGGGAGUGGGUGCAAAAGAAGUAGGUAGCUUAACCUUCGGGAGGGCGCUUACCACUUUGUGAUUCAUGACUGGGGUGAAGUCGUACANUGUAAANCCGAACGGCCAGCGG
rnacentral:rRNA from 1 species